AUUGAACGCUGGCGGCAGGCCUAACACAUGUAAGUUGGGCGAGCGGCGGACGGGUGAGUAAUGCAUGGGGAUCUGCCUGAUGGUGGGGGAUAACUACUGGAAACGGUAGCUAAUACCGCAUACCAUCAGCUGUACCCAUAUGGGAUUAGCUAGUCGGUAAGGUAACGGCUUACCUAGUCGACGACCCCAAGCUGGUAUGAGAGGAUGAUCAGCCCCACUGGGACUGAGACACGAACCAGAUUAUUACGAUAGGAAGCAGUGGGGAAUAUUGCACAAUGGGCGCAAGCCUGAUGAAGGCAUUCUGAGUGUAUGAAGAAGGCCUUCGGAUUGUAAAGUACUUUCAGUCGGAAGGCGUUACCGACAUAAGAAGCACCGGCUAUCUCCGUGCCAGCAGCCGCUGUAAUAU
rnacentral:rRNA from 1 species